GGGCGCUCGUACAGAAUGUGCCUGAGUGGAGACCAGCCGGCGGGACGGCGCCUGUUGAGUAUCUGAGGGGAAAGGGCACAGGACGUGGACGAACAGUUUUGAUAACAGCUUUAUAUGAAGUGGUUAAUCCAGUUUCAGCUGUGAAAUACAGUGGAGGCGAGUGCAACAACAAGGGGAAAAGAUGGAGGCCACAGGGACUCUCCAGUGUGACGGCGGAGGCCAAGCAGCUCUGACACAUUUCACGCUUGGCGUCGGCCGAUUCUCGCGAGCAUCCGAGAGCAACGCCAGGGGCCCGCGGCCUCUCACACUCCUCCACUCACCUGCAAAGAGUCCGAGCUGUGGAGGCACAGCAGGCCCAGCACACACAGGCCCAGUCCACUCCUCAUCGUCGGAUCCUGACGGACGUCUGGCUCUGCUCCGCAACAAAGCACAGCAAAGGCAAGUUUCCCAACCAGUCGAACACUUCCACCGACACGUAACGUCAGUGCACUCUUUCGCCGUGCGAAGGACCUCCGACCGGAUCGAUCGGA